UUGCAGGAGGCUGAGCAGGUCUUCCUUUCCGGUCCGGAUUAUCAUUACAGGAGUUGAAGCCUACAGCCUUUCUGUCCAUGCAGCAACUGAUG